rnacentral:ncRNA from 1 species
CAAGAUGAGAUUUCCCAUGGAGUUAAUCCAGUAAGACCCCUUAGAGAUGAUGAGGUUGAUAGGUCUCGGGUGGAAGCGUGGCGACACGUGGAGCUGAGAGAUACUAAUCGGUCGAGGACUUAUCCUA